ACACUAUAAAACAAGUCUGGCAGUGCAGUUCUGCCAACGAUUGCGCCGACUGUCUCCGGAGCCUGACGGACCGUUGUGCACAUGAUCCGGCGUUUUUACAGCUUCUCAAACAUAACAACGCUCCGUACAAUAUGGAAACGGCCAACGUCAUGGCGAAAACGUGUCAGCUGUCCAACAAUACCCUCCGCUUCGUGGGCGCCAUCGAAUACUGCGAGGAACAACGUCUCGAGUUCGGCCUCGAGGGGACAUAUGUCAGUUGGCCGCUGCUUCAUACGACGCCAUUAGCGCCCGGCGCAACGUUUGCAAAAAACUGCGGGGGAUUGCCGACGGAUUAGAUGAGGUAGAAGCCAAAGCGGAGUUGACGAAGAAAUGCAGAAGGGACGCGGUGAAGAUGCUGCAUGAUACCUAUCAAUUAUUGCACGAAGCGCACUGCACUGCGCCCAGUAAUUCAGCUUUUAGCGGGAUAAAGUGGCAGUUCCCCUAUUAUGUUUUGCUGGCUGUGAUUAUCGGCCGUGCUUGUUAUACUAUUCGAGCUUGAACAUACAAACGAGGCUCUCACACUUCUGUGUGCUGGUUUCUAAUACAUACUUCCGUGUGAUGAUUUCUAAUCUAUCUGUAUCGACUUGUUACAAUUCUUUUGGCGUUUUUUGUGUCAACCAAACCAUAUAAAUUAUAUGAACGA